rnacentral:rRNA from 1 species
AACGAACGCUGGCGGCAUGCCUAACACAUGCAAGUCGAACGAGACCUGCGGGUCUAGUGGCGCACGGGUGCGUAACGCGUGGGAACCUGCCCUUAGGGUCGGAAUAACUCGCCGAAAGUGGUGCUAAUACCGGAUAAUGUCUUCGGACCAAAGAUUUAUCGCCUUUGGUUGGGCCCGCGUUGGAUUAGCUAGUUGGUAGGGUAAAAGCCUACCAAGGCGACGAUCCAUAGCUGGUCUGAGAGGAUGAUCAGCCACACUGGGACUGAGACACGGCCAAGACUCCUACGGGAGGCAGCAGUGGGGAAUAUUGGACAAUGGGAGAAAGCCUGAUCCAGCAAUGCCGCGUGAGUGAUGAAGGCCUUAGGGUUGUAAAGUUCUUUUACCCGGGAUGAUAAUGACAGUACCGAGAGAAUAAGCUCCGGCUAACUACGUG